rnacentral:rRNA from 1 species
AUGGCGAACCAGUUUCCAUAUCUCAGCAUAUUCAACAUGUUAAGAGUUCAAUUUGUCUCGGUAUGCUGCUAUAGGGCUUGGGCACAUGCGCCUUUCUCAAGAUGUGUCUGCAAGCAGCUAUACAUUUUUAUCCUGUUGUGCUCUGAUCGCCUGAUGGUCUUGGAUGGUGUAAUUGCUUUUGAUGAUUUAGGAAAAUUUGUGUUAAAUCUUCUCGAAAGAUUCAAGCUGGUUGACAUGAAACCGGUGGUGGAGCAGUGCAGCAGACGUCAAGGCUAUGAAUGGCGGCAAGGGAUAGAGCCCUGGCGCUUGCUUGAGAAUUUAGUUGCUAUAGCUAAUAACGACUGA